AUCGUUGGAUUGCUUCGGGGAAGAGAAGAAGCUAAGAACCUGAUUCGAUUUUUUAAAAUAAAAUAACUCUGGUGGGCACUCUUCCGUUAUUACUUCUACAGUCCUUAUUCAAUCAAACCUUGUGGGUGAGCUUGAAAUUGCUCUAUUUUUCAAUCUUUCAACUUGAUUAAAAUCUCCGUCUUGAGAAUCGAUUCGACCUAUACUGGUGUUGUUACCUGGGGGAAUACAAGUCUCUCUCUCUCUUAUCAUGAUGGCCAAGCUCUCUGUCUACCUUUACAUUCCCAAUAUCGUUGACUCUCUUCUCCCUCUUGUACUUUUUCAGUUUUUGUUGUGAUGCUGUCGAUGGAUGGUGCGCUCGUAAAUUCAACCAAGCAUAUACAGAGCUUCAUUUGGUUGUUCUGUAGUGUCAAGAUCUCGAUAGUGACACACGUAUCUUGUCUUCUUCUCCCUUUCAGUUUCUACAUUUGGAGCUGUUCUUGACAUGGUCACAGACAGAGUCAGCACAGCGUGUCUUCUCGUGAUUCUCUCCCAAAUAUACGG